CCUCCUGCCUUCUUAGUGACUCAGGCAUUUCAGUGCGCUGGGGAUGUGGGUCUUCUCCUGUCUUGUCCUCCCAUAUUUAAGCGGCUUCUCUGCCGAAGUUGCCUUGUAUUUGCAUAGCCCCAGAGGCUGCUGGGAAGAGCUGCUCACUGUGAGCUCAGGAAGACUGAGACAAAGUCCUGGGGACCAAAGUAGUGGACCACUCAUCUAAUCCCGCGACUUGAAAUUUAAAACAGCAGUAGUUCACCCUCGCCCCAGGAGGAGGAAACAAUCCUGCCAAGAGGUUUCAAAUUCAACCCUUCUUCCUCUUCUACCUGCCCACGGCUGGCUUAUAUAAGAGAAGGACGGUGACCAGGAAGCUGGACUUGCCCACGUGGAAGACUGUCAGGAUGACCAAUUUGACGGUGGCUGAGGCCCUCUGCAUGGCCCUCUUCUGCAGUUUGCUGGGACCAACUCUUGGGCUCAGCAGCCUCCAAAGUUUAAACUCUGGAAGAAAUCGCAGGGGCUUGCUUGGAGGAAAGGGGGGGCUGCUUGGUGGAAUCCUUGGUGGUGGAGACAAAGGUGUACCUGUAGUUGGAGAUGUCCUUGGUGGUGUCCUUGGAGGUGGAGGCAAAGGUGGUGGAGGUGUCCUUGGUGGCGUCCUUGGAGGUGGAGACAAAGGCGUGGUUAGUGGUGUCCUUGGCGGUGUGGGAGGUGUUCUCAACAAUGCAACCGGUUCGGUGCUCCCUGGUGGAGGUGUACCUGGAGUUGGAGGUCUGCUUGGUGGGGGUGGAGGAAAAGGAGGAGGAUUUCUCGGCAGUGUCCUCGAUGACGUCGGAGGUCUUCUCAACGACACAACCAAUUCGCUGCUUGCCAGCGGUCUCCUGAACGGAGUUCUGGAUCAGAACCAACUUCGCGACCUCCUGGGCUCCCUCAAUGGAAACUUACUCGGUCUGGGAAGCGGAGGAACUAAGGAGUCAUUCCAGUGGUACAACAUUUUGAACCUCCAAUUUAUCAGAGGGUCUUGGAAGAUCGUAGGCGGAACGGAGUUGAUCCUCAAUUUGCAAGCCGUGAUCGUCAUGAAAUUGCCAGUGCUGCUCUUUCGGACUGUCACUAUGGAUGUGAACAUCACUGCGCACCUGGCCAUCACCCAGGACAAACCGGGUGACCUCAAGCUGGUCCUUAAAAAUUGCCAAAACCUGGUGGCUGGUUUUACCAUCAAGAUGCCCUCCAGCCUGGUCGCCACGCUGCUCACCAACCUCAUGAACCUGGCCGUUCAGAACAACAUGCCUCGCAUGUUGUGUCCCAUAUUUCAAAUCUGGAUCAACGUCAUCAAUAUGAAACUCAGGAUCCUCAACAAUUACGUUUUCUUCGGGCUCCUCGGCCGAAUCCACACGGCUCUUUCCACCAUACCGAUUUCGACCGGACAGUUUUCUGAGCUGGAUCUGAAGGACAAACCGUUUCCGGGAUUCUUCCUCAACUGGCUUCUCAACGAUAUCAAUUCAAAGGUCAUCCCGAAGAUUGCUUGAGACGGUCCAGCGAGGCACCUGCGGGGUAAACAAAAGACGCAAAAAUUGAGUUGUUGCGGGGUCACUGACCUGGGACGCUGAGCUCCUGAGCAUGGUACAAGUGAUGCCAUUGAGAGGACCCGGGUGGACCUGGCCUGUGUGUGUGGAAGCCUCGCGCUGCAAACAUCUGGAACGCGUUCCCGUCUCAGCGGUGACUUGUUCUCUUUCUAAAACUGACCUGGGAGUGAUCGUCGAAAUGCAUAUAAAUAAGGCAAAAUAAAUAUAGAAAUAAAAUAAAGAAUUAAAUGAAUGGCUUAAA